AAGGUUGAACUUGAUUAGGUCUCAAUUACUCCUCCAUCUACGGCGAUUCAGCAUCACCGUCUCUGUCACUGUUAAAACAGAAUCUACUACUUGAUCUCAACUUUUUAUCACCCGUAUCUCUUGAUCUCCUUAUCCUUCUCUUUCUCACUUUCCGAUGAACACAUUUCUCUUCUGCAAUGAAUUUUCUAAUUCACAUCAAAGUCAAUUACUCUCCCGAACUCUCCGUCUCCCUUGCUUACUAUCAAAGCUUGAUGCUUCUGGUAACCAAAAGAACACUUGAAACCUUAUAAACAUGAGAGGGUUGAGACUGAUAUCUAGCAUCUCAUAUACUCUCUGAAUUUAUCUUCUCUCGAAAUCUAUAACCAUCCUCCUCCAAUGCAAUUGAUGUUCACGAUGCAACGUUUGAUGAUCUCCACCUUGGUCGGUUCUCUCAGGUGGUUGUUGACCGGCUCAUCUGGAAUUGAGGAAACAUCAAGAAGAAUGGAGAGUUCAUGGGUUUUACCCUACUGCUUCUAGAUGAAAAGGUUACCUCUACCUCAACUCCACACGGGCGACCCAAUUUUACUUUGACCCGUCCAUUGCUGCUAUUCGAAGUUUUUAGCACAAGUUGUUAGAGUGCUGUCAGAUUUUAAGGAUUUGAGGCCAGAAGGAGUGAAGAGGAAGGCAUUUGUUGAACAGCUUAAGGCUGAUCUUGGUUCUUAUCACGGCUAUAAUGAGUUUCUUAUUGGAACGCUGACUUCACUUUUUAUGUACACUCUUUUGGUUCUCUUUGGGGUAGUGUGAGCUAAUUUUGUUACUCACAUAUGUUGAAUUGGUAUAUUGUUGCAGACGUUUCCUCCUGUUGAAUUCAUGGAACUUCACUUCAAAUUUUAGGACUGUUUCUCUUCAAUGAUUUAACCUUUAAAACCUUUUUCUUUUGAUGAUAUUCAGAUUCUUGAUCUCUGCAACACAAGAGCUGAUCUGUGGAGUGAUCUAUGGAAUCGAUAAGUACGCUGUACGUGGACUGAGGUCAUUAGCUCUUGCAAGACGGACUGUACCUGAGAAAACAAAAACAAAAAAAAAGCUCUUAGGGUCCACAGAAAUUUGUUGGUGGGUUGCCUUUAUCUGAUCCUCCAAGACAUGAUAGUGCAUACACCAUUAGAAGAGCUUUUCAGACCUCGCUGUCAACAUCAAUGAUCACUGUUGAUCACCUUGCUAUUGCCAAAGAGACUCGACCUAAGCUCGGUAUGGGAUCAAAGAGGAUUCAUAGCAUCAGCUUCUCUACUUGGAUAAGAAAUCCAUCCCUUAAAACAAUGUAUGUCUUGCCAAACUCUUUAUCUUUCUGCCGAGGUUUUGUUUUGAAUCGAGGAAACAACAUGUUGCGGCAUGGGAACGUUGGAGACCUGUACGAAGAAUGCUUAGACGUCGUGAAAAUGACAAAUUAGGUGGAAAGCCAAAAUGAGUGAAAAUAUAAGUUUGCUUCUAUUUUUAAUAGAGCUCUUUCGUUUUUUUUUGUUUUUUUUUUUAAUGUUUCCGGGCUUUUUGUAAUACGAAAAAUACUAAGUACUCUUUACCAAUAACUUUUCAAGCUUUUUUGAUAAAAAAAAGUAGGGGU